AACAUCGCUAGCUGUGAGUUGUUAGUUCAAAUUACCCUCCUGAAGCUCUGAGGAUGGUAGUCAUUGAAGGAUUUCAGAACUUAAAUUCGACCAUAAGGGGCAGGAUGGUAGGCAAAGCUGCUUCGGUGGGUAGUCGCAAUGAUAAAGUGAGCUGAGGUCUGAGAAACCAUGUGAGCGUUGCCUGGCACAUGGGAAGCAGAUGGCAGGACGCAUGUGUCUGGAAAAUGUGUGUGGAGAGAAACACCAAGAAAAAAAAGACAACGGAAUUAGUCCCUUAUAAACCACACAGAAUGGAAUUCAUCAUUUAUGAAACACAUGCCUAAAAAGGUCUUUGAGUGGCUACCUCAAUUUAGCUAUGUGAAGUUUU